rnacentral:tRNA from 1 species
GGCCCUAUCGUCUAAUGGUUAGGACAUCAGGUUUUCAUCCUGGAAAUCGGGGUUCAAUUCCCCGUAGGGUCA